GUGCUUGCUUAGGCAGCACAUAUACUAAAAUUGGAAUGAUGCAGGGAAAAUUAGCAUGGCCCCUGCACCAAGGAUGACACACAAAUUUGAGAAUCGUUCCAUUAAAAA
rnacentral:snRNA from 1 species